rnacentral:rRNA from 1 species
AUUGAACGCUGGCGGCAGGCCUAACACAUGCAAGUCGAGCGGAUGAAGGGAGCUUGCUCCUGGAUUCAGCGGCGGACGGGUGAGUAAUGCCUAGGAAUCUGCCUGGUAGUGGGGGAUAACGUCCGGAAACGGGCGCUAAUACCGCAUACGUCCUGAGGGAGAAAGUGGGGGAUCUUCGGACCUCACGCUAUCAGAUGAGCCUAGGUCGGAUUAGCUAGUUGGUGGGGUAAAGGCCUACCAAGGCGACGAUCCGUAACUGGUCUGAGAGGAUGAUCAGUCACACUGGAACUGAGACACGGUCCAGACUCCUACGGGAGGCAGCAGUGGGGAAUAUUGGACAAUGGGCGAAAGCCUGAUGAAGCAAGGCCGCGUGUGUGAAGAAGGUCUUCGGAUUGUAAAGCACUUUAAGUUGGGAGGAAGGGCAGUAAGUUAAUACCUUGCUGUUUUGACGUUACCAACAGAAUAAGCACCGGCUAACUUCGUG